GCUAAAAAUCGGGCUGUUACAUUAUUUGUUAACCCAGUCGGUGCAACAUCACCUACAUUUGGGGGUUACCAAAUUAGGAAGGAAAUCUACUAUAAUAGUAUUAGUUUGAAGCCUGCAUAAACAACCUCUGGUUUACUAGCUUCGCACCUAAUCACUACCUGUGAUAUUUCUAUCUAAGACACUUAUAGAUAUGAAACCCCUCACACUUCCCCUCGAUCAUUCACCAGUGAUAACAACAAAUACAAUCAAAAUAGAAUCCACUCUUGCUAAAAAGCUUACGAGUGAUUCACAACUUACAACAUAACUAACAAUCCAACUCCAGCAUCAAGGUGAUACAAGAGUGGCUCACAAAUAACAACGGACAUACUAAAAUCCUAAAUGACACUUAGACAAUUGCAGUUUCAGUAGUCUUCUUAGGUUCAGAGUCUUUUUUUGUAUAGCCUGAGAAUAACAUGGGCUUGAUGAACAAUUCGGGCUGAUCCAAUCCGGUCUUCAACAUAAUAUUCUAAAUGCAAAUAUAUUGUUUUCUUAAAUGUUACAACAUCACACUUAAGAAACACGCAAAAAUAACUGCCUUCUGCAGCUUAUAGAAAACAUAUGCUUCUUGGUCAACACUCCACGUGAAUCAAAUCUUCAUAGAAUCUUCGGAUAUCUUACGUUUAAAACAAAUCUCCAAGAAAGUGAAAGAAGUCAUGCUACGAUGUCUUACCAACAUGUCAAAACAUCUUGCUAGAACACUUGUUUUAACAAAAUGCGGUCAAUUACAAUCUACAAAACUAACAGUAGUAUAUUUGUUUGACUAAGAAAAAGUAAAACACAAAUUUGAAUGAUUAUCAAUAUUUUUUUUGAAGGAUUAUCAAUAAUAAAUCAACAAUGAUCAAUAAUUGAGUUAAAUUCAAAUAAAUUAAUCAUAAAAUUACAAGGGGUAGUUUAUAGAUUUAAUACAGUGGAAAUGUCAUUCGUCAAUACCAAGAAUCACAUUGAAGAUCCCAAUAUCCGUUACGAGAAUGUUACUUAUUCAUAUUUAAAUAUACGUUAAAAAUAUUUAAAUUUAAUCAUAACUAAUUAAAAUUAUUCAUAUGAUUGAUUGUCAUUCGUUAAAGUGUAUCAAAAUUAGUAUAAAUUAUAAUUCUCAAAUUCAUGAAAAAGUAUUUCUAAUUUACAUCUCAAAUUCAUAAACAUUUAUCAGAGUAAACAACAUAUAACGAAAUAUCACACUUCUUAAAAUCUUAAAUAGAUAAAUAAUAAUUUAUCCUUCAACUUAAAUCAUCAACGUAAUAGUAGCGGAUAAAAUUCUUCAACAUAAAUUGUCUUGGCACGCAGGCCUCAUAAAAAUCAUCUCAUAAGUUCAGUUAAACAACAUGAAAACAUAGCAUAUACGCAAAGGAAAGAGAAAUAGACACUAAAGAUCCCCUCCCGUUACGUAUCAGAGCAACCUAAGACUCGGUGAGGAAAGACCACUCACGACAGCAAACACAACAACCUAUUCUUGAUCACCUGCAAGUUACUCAUACGAAGAGCAACAUAUCUAAGCAGAAGGGGUGAGAUUUCACAAAACAAUAAUAUUAAGCAUAUAAUUCAACAAUUAUAUUUAACAACAUAAAAACAUCUUAUUAUUCAUCAUAGAUAAUAAUAUAUCAUAAAUCACUUCGUUAACAAUUCAUAUAAGUAAUCACAACUUCACAACUUAUCAUCUUCGACUCAACAAAUGCAACUAUGCAACUUAAACCUCUUAUAUGCAUGUGGUACCAAUACAGGGCAUUAAGCCCCCAUUGCUAUUUGAGUAUUAAUAUACUUCCAGGACAUCAAGCCCCCAUCGCUAUUUGAGCUAAAGCUCCAUCGUGUUGAGUACAAAGCUCCAGGGCAUCAAGUCCCUAACAAUGAAAUGUUAAUGCAUGGACUCGACCUCUUAAACAUCUUAAUUCGACAACCUCUUAUAUAAUCCAAUAAUUUGGAAACAUCAUCAUCUUCAUCAACUUAGACCGACUCAUGCAGCUUAGUUAGAUAACAAUAGCAACAUAGGCAGUAUACAAAACAGUAUAUUUGACUUUUAUCAAAAGUGUCAGUGAAAUCCAAUUUUUUUCUUUCUAAAUGUUAUUAUUCAUAAUAGUGAAUAUUUUUUUCGAUAAAAUUGUAAAAAGUUGGUAAAGUGUUUAUAAACAAUGAAACAUUGUUUUUCUUAUGAAAUUAUCUUUUCUAAAGUACAAAAGUUGAUAUUAAAAAAGUUGGUUAAUUCAUUGAUUUUGAGAGAAAUUGCAUUGUUCAAAAGUCAUUAUUCACUGGAAAAAAAAUGUCAUAAUCGUUACUCCCUCUAUCUCACAAUAUUAAUCGUUUAAAGUUUGUGCAUAAUUAUUAAGGAAAUGAUUAAUUGUGUUGAUUUCAAUGAUAAAAUUAGUAAUAUUUACUAAAACAUCCUUAUUAAUUAUAGUUAGUGGAGUAGUUAAGUUGGAUGAAAUUCAAUAAAUAAGGGUAUAAUAAUGAAAAAAAUAAUAAAUAUUGCAUUGGUAUUGUUGUAAAAUGACAAUUAUUUUGAAAAAAAAGAAAAAUGCUAAAAAGACAAUAAUUAUGAGACGGAAGGAAUAUAAUAAAUGUAUGUGAUUGAAGUUCGAAUCUCCGCUCUUUCUUAUAUGAAUUUUGUUAUUUAUAGCAGCAUCAACAACAAAAAGAAAUGAUCAAAAUCCUUCAAUUAUUAAUUUUUUUUAAGGACAAAAUC
rnacentral:lncRNA from 1 species